rnacentral:tRNA from 1 species
GGUUCCAUAGUGUAGUGGUUAGCACAUCUAUUUUACACGCAGAAGGUCCUGGGUUCGAUCCCCAGUAGAACCA